UCUUGUAUGUACUUUACGAAUAAGGAUCGGCUAACUCCGUGCCAGCAGCCGCGGUAAUACGGAGGAUCCAAGCGUUAUCCGGAUUUAUUGGGUUUAAAGGGUGCGUAGGCGGACCUGUAAGUCAGUGGUGAAAGUUUGCAGCUCAACUGUAAAAUUGCCAUUGAAACUGUAGGUCUUGAGUGUAAAUGAGGUAGGCGGAAUGUGUUGUGUAGCGGUGAAAUGCUUAGAUAUAACACAGAACACCAAUUGCGAAGGCAGCUUACUAGGAUACAACUGACGCUGAGGCACGAAAGCGUGGGGAUCAAACAGGAUUAGAUACCCUGGUAGUCCACGCAGUAAACGAUGAAUACUAGCUGUAUGCGAUAUACUGUAUGUGGCAAAGCGAAAGCGUUAAGUAUUCCACCUGGGGAGUACGUUCGCAAGAAUG
rnacentral:rRNA from 1 species